rnacentral:rRNA from 1 species
CGGGGAGGUAGUGACGAAAAAUAACGAUACGGGACUCAUCCGAGGCCCCGUAAUCGGAAUGAGUACACUUUAAAUCCUUUAACGAGGACCAAUUGGAGGGCAAGUCUGGUGCCAGCAGCCGCGGUAAUUCCAGCUCCAAUAGCGUAUAUUAAAGUUGUUGCGGUUAAAAAGCUCGUAGUUGAAUCUGUGUGUCACAGUGUCGGUUCACCGCUCGCGGUGUUUAACUGGCAUUAUGUGGUACGUCCUACCGGUGGGCUUAGCGCUCGGUUUUCGGGCCGGGCGCGGUCCAAUUUAAUUUACCCAUCGCGGUGCUCUUCAUUGAGUGUCGAGGUGGGCCGGUACGUUUACUUUGAACAAAUUAGAGUGCUCAAAGCAGGCUACUCUCGCCUGAAUACUCUGUGCAUGGAAUAAUGGAAUAGGACCUCGGUUCUAUUUUGUUGGUUUUCGGAACCCCGAGGUAAUGAUUAAUAGGGACAGAUGGGGGCAUUCGUAUUGCGACGUUAGAGGUGAAAUUCUUGGAUCGUCGCAAGACGGACUAAAGCGAAAGCAUUUGCCAAAAAUGUUUUCAUUAAUCAAGAACGAAAGUUAGAGGUUCGAAGGCGAUCAGAUACCGCCCUAGUUCUAACCAUAAACGAUGCCAGCUAGCGAUCCGCCGAAGUUCCUCCGAUGACUCGGCGGGCAGCUUCCGGGAAACCAAAGCUUUUGGGUUCCGGGGGAAGUAUGGUUGCAAAGCUGAAACUUAAAGGAAUUGACGGAAGGGCACCACCAGGAGUGGAGCCUGCGGCUUAAUUUGACUC